rnacentral:rRNA from 1 species
AUGGAAUAUUUGAGGAUUUUAGGCACUGAAAUCACUACAGGAGGGGCAAGCACCAGGCCACGAGAGUGGAGGGCGCCCCCUCCUGGGCGCCCCCUGUCUCGUGGGCCCCUGGUGGCCCCCUCUACUUAUGCCAGUACCCACACGUUUAUUAUUGACAACGAAGAGAAGAUGCUCUUGUAUAACCUUAGAUUUAAUAAGAAACACAAUGAGACUAUUAUUUUGCCUGCGCCUCUGUUGUUUGAUUUGCUUGCAGAUAAGUUUCUUGUCACGCUGGAGGCGGUGUAUGCUCAUCGAGCCCAAGCAUCCACUCCAGAACCUGAACCUGAGCCGGAACCUGCACUGGACCCUUAUCGUGCAUCAUCUUUCCAGUGGGAUCCGGAGAUGACCUACCAGUGGUAUCCUGAUUACACCUCCCAGUACAUCGGGGAGAGUAGCGGCGGUCCUUGGUAUUAUACCAACUUAGGCCAAAAUCCUAAGCUUGGGGGAGUACGUAUUUCUCACCGACUUUACAUGUUCACACACUAG